UACGGAGGAUGCGAGCGUUAUCCGGAUUUAUUGGGUUUAAAGGGUGCGUAGGCGGACUUUUAAGUGAGAUGUGAAAUACUCGGGCUCAACUUGAGUGCUGCAUUUCAAACUGGAAGUCUAGAGUGCAGGAGAGGAGAAUGGAAUUCCUAGCGUAGCGGUGAAAUGCGUAGAGAUUAGGAAGAACACCAGUGGCGAAGGCGAUUCUCUGGACUGUAACUGACGCUGAGGCUCGAAAGCGUGGGGAGCAAACAGG
rnacentral:rRNA from 1 species